rnacentral:tRNA from 1 species
GGCGGUGUAGCUCAGGGGUUAGAGCAAGCGGCUCAUAUCCGCUUUGUCGGGGGUUCGAAUCCCUCCACCGCUA